rnacentral:pre_miRNA from 1 species
GUUUCGAUGUAAGUAUGUCCCAUGCAAUAUUUGGGAUAUACUUAUACUAAAA